CCUGCCCCUAGAGGCAUUGCAGGUGUGUCUGCUCUGUCAUAUGUGCGCCAGUAGGUGGCAGAGAGGAGAGAGUAUAUGUCUACACUCAAGUGUUCUAACCUAUGAACAUCUGAAAGAUUAGUAGCCUAACAUU